rnacentral:lncRNA from 1 species
AGAGAUCUUAGUGUCUCACCGCACCUGACCUCUGUGGCAAGCUAGGAGUGUCUGAGCCCUCACCACGCCUUCCCCUGUGAGCACCAGACGCCUCUUCAGGAGUCAGGAAGCGGAUGCAGGGUGGUGCAGCCCCAGGACAUGGAGCCUGGGAACACCACGCCCAUGGUCAGCCCUGCCAGGUGCCGUCGGACGCACCUCGAGGGUUUUCCAUGCAUUGAAACAGGCAGGGUUAGCAUA